UAGGGAAUAUUGGUCAAUGGGCGAGAGCCUGAACCAGCCAUGCCGCGUGCAGGAAGAAGGCCCUCUGGGUUGUAAACUGCUUUUGACAGGGAACAAAGAGUCCAUGCGUGGAUAAAUGAGUGUACCUGUAGAAUAAGCACCGGCUAACUCCGUGCCAGCAGCCGCGGUAAUACGGAGGGUGCAAGCGUUGUCCGGAUUUAUUGGGUUUAAAGGGUGCGUAGGCGGCUUUUUAAGUCAGCGGUGAAAUUACUGAGCUCAACUCGGUGACUGCCGUUGAUACUGACUAGCUUGAGUAUUGACGAAGAGGGCGGAAUUGAAGGUGUAGCGGUGAAAUGCAUAGAUAUCUUCAAGAACACCGAUUGCGAAGGCAGCUCUCUAGGGAAUAACUGACGCUGAGGCACGAAAGCGUGGGUAGCAAACAGG
rnacentral:rRNA from 1 species